AGACUGCGAGUGAUAAGAUCCGUAGUCAAGAGGGAAACAGCCCAGAUCGCCAGCUAAGGUCCCAAAGUGUGUAUUAAGUGGAAAAGGAUGUGGAGUUGCUUAGACAACUAGGAUGUUGGCUUAGAAGCAGCCACCAUUUAAAGAGUGCGUAAUAGCUCACUAGUCGAGUGACUCUGCGCCGAAAAUGUACCGGGGCUAAAUACACCACCGAAGCUGCGAAUUGAUACCAAUGGUAUCAGUGGUAGGGGAGCGUUCUAAGUGCAGUGAAGUCAGACCGGAAGGACUGGUGGAGCGCUUAGAAGUGAGAAUGCCGGUAUGAGUAGCGAAAGACGGGUGAGAAUCCCGUCCACCGAAUGCCUAAGGUUUCCUGAGGAAGGCUCGUCCGCUCAGGGUUAGUCAGGACCUAAGCCGAGGCCGACAGGCGUAGGCGAUGGACAACAGGUUGAUAUUCCUGUACCACCUCUUUAUCGUUUGAGCAAUGGAGGGACGCAGAAGGAUAGAAGAAGCGUGCGAUUGGUUGUGCACGUCCAAGCAGUUAGGCUGAUAAGUAGGCAAAUCCGCUUAUCGUGAAGGCUGAGCUGUGAUGGGGAAGCUCCUUAUGGAGCGAAGUCUUUGAUUCCCCGCUGCCAAGAAAAGCUUCUAGCGAGAUAAAAGGUGCCUGUACCGCAAACCGACACAGGUAGGCGAGGAGAGAAUCCUAAGGUGUGCGAGAGAACUCUGGUUAAGGAACUCGGCAAAAUGACCCCGUAACUUCGGGAGAAGGGGUGCUUUCUUAACGGAAAGCCGCAGUGAAUAGGCCCAAGCGACUGUUUAGCAAAAACACAGCUCUCUGCGAAGCCGUAAGGCGAAGUAUAGGGGGUGACACCUGCCCGGUGCUGGAAGGUUAAGGAGAGGGGUUAGCGUAAGCGAAGCUCUGAACUGAAGCCCCAGUAAACGGCGGCCGUAACUAUAACGGUCCUAAGGUAGCGAAAUUCCUUGUCGGGUAAGUUCCGACCCGCACGAAAGGUGUAACGAUUUGGGCACUGUCUCAACCAGAGACUCGGUGAAAUUAUAGUACCUGUGAAGAUGCAGGUUACCCGCGACAGGACGGAAAGACCCCGUGGAGCUUUACUGUAGCCUGAUAUUGAAUUUUGGUACAGUUUGUACAGGAUAGGCGGGAGCCAUUGAAACCGGAGCGCUAGCUUCGGUGGAGGCGCUGGUGGGAUACCGCCCUGACUGUAUUGAAAUUCUAACCUACGGGUCUUAUCGACCCGGGAGACAGUGUCAGGUGGGCAGUUUGACUGGGGCGGUCGCCUCCUAAAGUGUAACGGAGGCGCCCAAAGGUUCCCUCAGAAUGGUUGGAAAUCAUUCGUAGAGUGCAAAGGCAUAAGGGAGCUUGACUGCGAGACCUACAAGUCGAGCAGGGACGAAAGUCGGGCUUAGUGAUCCGGUGGUUCCGCAUGGAAGGGCCAUCGCUCAACGGAUAAAAGCUACCCCGGGGAUAACAGGCUUAUCUCCCCCAAGAGUCCACAUCGACGGGGAGGUUUGGCACCUCGAUGUCGGCUCAUCGCAUCCUGGGGCUGUAGUCGGUCCCAAGGGUUGGGCUGUUCGCCCAUUAAAGCGGUACGCGAGCUGGGUUCAGAACGUCGUGAGACAGUUCGGUCCCUAUCCGUCGUGGGCGUAGGAAAUUUGAGAGGAGCUGUCCUUAGUACGAGAGGACCGGGAUGGACGCACCGCUGGUGUACCAGUUGUUCUGCCAAGGGCAUAGCUGGGUAGCUAUGUGCGGAAGGGAUAAGUGCUGAAAGCAUCUAAGCAUGAAGCCCCCCUCAAGAUGAGAUUUCCCAUAGCGUAAGCUAGUAAGAUCCCUGAAAGAUGAUCAGGUUGAUAGGUUCGAGGUGGAAGCAUGGUGACAUGUGGAGCUGACGAAUACUAAUAGAUCGAGGACUUAACCAUAUAA
rnacentral:rRNA from 1 species